GUUCUAUAAGCUUAAAAUUAAUGAUUUCCAACCCGCAGCAAACUCAGCAUAACUAGAAUUUACGAUAGCAUUAGGCUGACUCAAACGAUGCUAGAGACUGGCUCAUGUCACUUGGCUAAUUCCUAAAAAUCAGAGUUUUUAAGUAAAAGCGACGGUAAUUGAAUUUGAAAAUUAUUUCAUGCACGUACAUGUUAAAAAGACGUUGGAGCGAAACGAACAAUCCCUUGGCGUGGUUAUAGUACUAUUUCAUUUUAAAUAUGCCAUAAUAAUGUUACCAACUAAUGUAGGGCUAUUAAAUCCAACUAAGAGCAUCAUCAUAUGAGAGGGCAAGAAACCAAAGUUACUAGUUGAUAUUAUUUUUAUGUAUUUGGAGGCUCUGAAGUUCGUUUAAUCCAAUCCGUCCAAUUAAUUAAAUCUAUUUGCCUAUACCUCUAAAUGACUUUGUAGUCAUACCACGUCAUCAUCGCGAGCCAUUCAGUUACGUCUAGAUAGCGAGAUGGGCGGAUAAGUCCUAUAAUAAGCAAUAGAGCACACACUCCGAAAGUUUCAAAAUUUCCCUACUUAUGAUUCAUAAGUACGAUGCUUUUACUAGACCGACCCAGACAGGACGGAGAGAUCAGCCUAUUAGAGGCGUUGUAAUUAAGUGAUGCUUGUCUGAUUCAACAGGCAAAAACUGGCUACCUAUGUCGGGAUCUCCCAGAAUUAAUAUAAAGCGCAAAACAACUGCGGUUACGCUCUUUAAAUACGCUCAUACCAAACGUGCUAACUCAAAAUAGACACGGUUAAGUUCUGAACUUGAGAUUAAUCAAGUUUUGUCAGUCUAUUGGAACACGGGUCAAGAUUGUAUUAAAGCAAGUAUCGAGUCGGCGGUAGUAACGAAUAAUUAUGUAACUUUAGUAGAUUCCGCUGCGGCAGUUCUGAAAAAAGCUCCACACGACCGGGGCAAACAGCUAGAUUUGAGGCUUGCUGUUUGUUAGCAAAAUUUGCUCUUAACAAGAUAAAAUCUACUGAAACACAACAAUAUUUAUCAUUUGACGGUACAGAAAUAGCCCUGUAAGGAUUAAAACUUUUCUAGUUGCUCGUUGUCUAAUUGCUCUAUACGUAAUCCGAAAAAGCACUUUACUUUUAAGCAGUCUACUCCGCCACGAGUAGGCAAACUGACCUACGGCAAAAUACUUAUAAAAAAAUAUUCUUAUGAAUGAGCCAUUCUUUACAGGAUUUGCCUAGGUACAGUCUAUAACCUGAGAUCUUGAGGUUGUCUUUUGCUUGCACAAUUACGUACAAAGUUCAUGCAACUUUUCAGGAGUCUCAAACAAUGGACAUAUGACAUUGUCGUUCACCCAUUACUAUUUCUAUUUCAUAUGUGUUAUUAGUCGCUUAGAGCUUGCACAAUAUUGUUUGGGGGCGUGGGCUAAACGGCGAUCGGCGGUAGAUGGAUUCAGCUGUUCCUUGAGUAACCUCUAAAAGACAACAAAGCCUCUACGUACAAACACGGAGUCGAUGCCAUUUUCUUUGUCUUUAAUCCGCGACAAGAACAAGAGAGGCGUAAAAACUAAUUUCGCUAGCGAUAAGUUAUUAUGGCUGUGCUAGAGACCUAUCCCGUACGGUAGCAUUGCGCGUGGCGUCGCCAUCAGCGUCGUUAACGCUACUGCUACCUGCUGCUGUAACUAGGUAGACCGCAAUAAAAAGCUAGUGAUGUGCAACUACGAGACUUCGGGUCCCCGAGGAGAGUGAGAAGCGGUGUAUAUGUGAACACGAGUAAAUUUCUGUCAUUCCUUGUAAACGAUUUGCCUAUUAUUGAAAUAAGUGGUUGCAAAAGGCAAAUUAAUUUGCUGUUCAAUAGAAAAGCCACCUUAUGCAAAAAUUUUGUUCGGAUAAUUGUCAAGAAUUCUAUUUUUUUGGGUCUUGUGAAUUACACCCGCGGCUCCAGAGAAUUACCCGAGCAAGUUAGAAUUAGUUCGUAGUAUUUGACCGGUGUUGUCAGGAUAUACGAGCUACCGGCGAUGGGUGCUUACGACGCAACUUCUGCAGACCAAAUAGACGAUAGAUACAUCAACAAAGGUCCGGCAAUAACCAAGCUUAUGAACAAAAACGCUGUUGAAGUGGAACCAGCAGCUGAAUCUGCCAUGACGUCAUGGAUAAUUCUCCUGUUCUCAACUGAUAUGUUAGUGGCGCUAUGCUCGUGCAUAGUUGUGUUCACGCUUGUAUUGGCUGUCUUCCUACGAAACAGAGAACGAGUGCGCCGUUACGUGACCGGUGAGAACCGGCGAGUAGGCAGUGUCUAUUACGUGCGACCGGGAAUUGCUCCAACUCAACCGACGGAGAUUUGAUAGGAAAACCGAAAACGAACAGCAAGCACGUUAACAGCCUCAAUCAGCGAUGACUCGGUCAGCAAUGAGAACUCCAAUAGCACCAACCAUAAUCGUAGGUGAAAUCGUUAAGAAGAAAUAUAAUCAUAUCGUAUAAAUGGGACGCCAAGACUGCGAGCGAUGUAUCGAACGAACGUGAGCAGUCAUCGGAAGCCUUCGUCCAGUAACAAACUGAAUACGGCGUAUGUAUCAGCGUGGAGCGCGUACAACGAUUUUCAACGGCAAAAAACCCUCAAUCACUAAUGGGCUCAUAUUAAAUUACUCAUCUGAAUGUGACUCUUUAAACUGUCGGCGGUCCUUUUAGAUGUAUGGCUUUAUCCAAAACUAGCUCAAUAAUUACCUAACUAAAAUUUUACGAAAGCGAGCAUUCAGAACAUAUCAACAAACAAGCUCGGGUAUAAUUUAGGUUGGCCAUUUUAGUCUUGGGGCAAACUAUUGGCUUAUGCAGAUUGUUUUGAAUUAUUAAAUGAUUUAGACGCCUGUUGAUAUAUUGCCUUUAAAGAUAUCGGGUUUUAAGAAGACGAAUGACUUUUCCGUGAAAUCGAAUUCAGUUGGUUAAAAGCGUAUCGAUCAUUUUUGGAAGCUUUUUCACAGGUCAAACUCAUCUGUAUACAUACAAUUAGAUUUAGCCUUAUGAUUGGGUGUACGUUUCGAAGUUCUUAUAGUGUUGUUCGGUAGGUGUUUCUUGAAGAAGAAGCAGCUACACGAAAAAUCACGGUGAAAACAUUCCAGUGAACGAAAAUCUACGAUUUUCCUUACCUUAUUACUGUACUGAUGUACCAUAUUGCUGGAAGCGGUAUUUUUGUAAAUCUCGAGUAAUUAAUUAGCGCAACAAUUUUUUUCCGUAGAAGGCGGGAUGGAGUCUCUUUUUUUCAUGCAUAGGAACGACACCCCUUUAUCGUGCUUCGGCAACGUAGCUUUUGAGCGUAUGAAAGAAUAAAUUAUUGCACACGUUUAUUAACCUAUAUUUUGAACAUAAGCGAUUAUCACAUUGUAGGCGCAAGGCGCAUUUCUAUUCACGAUUUAUUUUUACUUCAGCAGAAUUUUUUCCCGAACAGGACCAGAGAUGAGUAAUGUAAUAUCUAUUUAGUAGAGAUUUAGAUUUGUGAGCAAUCACAAUUUUGCUGUACUGCUCGGAUCGAAUCUUAUUUAAGCUGCUACUACCCAUUGCUGAGUGCGUGUGAUUAGAUCCAACAAACGUAGCCGUUGAAAUGAUCGAAAGUUCUAAUCUAUAGAACAAUACAUUUUCUAUUUAGCCACAUGUAAAUAGAAUAGCUGGUUCUCGAAAUAACGAAAGAUGUAUCUCGAAAUGUUGCCUUAAUGUGGCUUUACUAGACCCGUAGUAGCUUUAAUAGACUUUAAUUUCAGUUUUUAUAAAUCACUAUUACGUAACUGGAACAUACGUGUCAUAUUGUUUAAUACCAUUACCUACACCAUCUUGAGGAAUCAGCUUCAGUUAAUUCAGGUAAUAUAGUAACGUUAUUCCACACAACAAGGAUUCUAAAAAUGUUUCUAUAGAAGCUCAAUUGCGUUUCGUUGUACAUGUAUGCUUGUUUGUACUUCAUACUCUUAAACUGUCUUAACUAGUAGGGGCACUACUAAUGGAAAAAUGUAGUACUUUAAAAGAAAGUAUCCAAAUCCCGUAAUGAUAUUAUGGCCAAAAAUGUUCUUAUUGUCCCACCGAGAAGGAGAAUAAUAUUUAAAUCGUUCACUACUUUUUUUUUCUCGAGAACUACCUCAUAUUUAAAAAUGUCGAUAUCUGAUGAAAAUAAUAUGGUAACGUGAAGAGUAAACUACCUGAAAAACAUGUUUACCCGAGGUGAUUAAUUGCGAAAGAACUAUUCGGUCUAGACAACUAUCGCAGCUAAAGGAAGUACGCAAACCUAACCGUUAGGUUAGGUUUGCGCACUUCCUGUAGAUGCAACUGUACUCAAUGACAAAUAUGUACUAUUAGUAAACGUAGACAUUAUAUAUAUAUGCCUUGUGUUAUCGGUAACCACCAGAGUCUUAUGUGCGCACAUGGUUGUUCUUAUGCGUCAAGAUCAGUACCGCGCGUAGUGAUGCUAGGCAUUGGCUAGCUAGAACGUCAAUUUCACGCUAAGCGGUAUCGGUCAGUUCAGUCAGUACUUCUGAUGCUCCAUAUUACUGUGGCCCGAGGAAGACGUCAUCCAUCGCUUUUGUUCGCCGGUUUCAUUUGAUAAUAUAAUCACUACAUUAAACUUUUCCGUAAAAUAAAGUCACGUUGUAGAGGUAGUA
rnacentral:lncRNA from 1 species